GCCCCCGUAGCUCAGUGGAUAGAGCAUCGGAUUCCUAAUCCGUGUGCCGCAGGUUCGAUUCCUGCCGGGGGCACCA
rnacentral:tRNA from 2 species